rnacentral:rRNA from 1 species
AAAGGAAUUGACGGGGGCCCGCACAAGCGGAGGAACAUGUGGUUUAAUUCGAUGAUACGCGAGGAACCUUACCCGGGCUUGAAAUGCAUUUGAUCGGCAAAGAGAUUUGCCUUCCCUUCGGGGCAGAUGUGUAGGUGCUGCAUGGUUGUCGUCAGCUCGUGCCGUGAGGUGUCGGCUUAAGUGCCAUAACGAGCGCAACCCUUAUUGUUAGUUGCCAUCGGGUUAUGCCGGGGACUCUAACGAGACUGCCAUCGUAAGAUGCGAGGAAGGUGGGGAUGACGUCAAAUCAGCACGGCCCUUACGUCCGGGGCGACACACGUGUUACAAUGGGUGGUACAAAGAGCAGCUACAUGGUGACAUGGUGCUAAUCUCCAAAACCACUCUCAGUUCGGAUCGGAGUCUGCAACUCGACUUCGUGAAGCUGGAUUCGCUAGUAAUCGCGCAUCAGCCACGGCGCGGUGAAUACGUUCCCGGGCCUUGUACACACCGCCCGU